UGGUGGUUCCUUGUGUUGUAAUA
rnacentral:siRNA from 1 species